CCUACGGGUGGCAGCAGUGGGGAAUAUUGGACAAUGGGCGAAAGCCUGAUCCAGCCAUGCCGCGUGUGUGAAGAAGGCCUUCGGGUUGUAAAGCACUUUCAGUGGGGAAGAAAGCCUUGGGGCUAAUACCCUCGAGGAAGGACAUCACCCACAGAAGAAGCACCGGCUAACUCCGUGCCAGCAGCCGCGGUAAUACGGAGGGUGCGAGCGUUAAUCCGAAUUACUGGGCGUAAAGCGCGCGUAGGCGGUCUGAUAAGCCGGUUGUGAAAGCCCCGGGCUCAACCUGGGAACGGCAUCCGGAACUGUCAGGCUAGAGUGCAGGAGAGGAAGGUAGAAUUCCCGGUGUAGCGGUGAAAUGCGUAGAGAUCGGGAGGAAUACCAGUGGCGAAGGCGGCCUUCUGGACUGACACUGACGCUGAGGUGCGAAAGCGUGGGUAGCAAACAGGAUUAGAUACCCGAGUAGUC
rnacentral:rRNA from 1 species